rnacentral:rRNA from 1 species
AAGGAUCAUUAUUGAAAUAAACCUGAUGAGUUGUUGCUGGUUCUCUAGGGAGCAAUGUGCACACUUGUCAUCUUUGUAUCUUCACCUGUGCACCUUUUGUAGACCUGACUAUCUCUCUGAGUUGCUUCAUAGCACUCAGGAUUUGAGAAUUGACUUCUUGUCUCUUCUUAUAUUUUCAGGUCUAUGUUUCUUCAUAUACCCUAAUGUAUGUUUAUAGAAUGUAAUUAAUGGGCCUCUGUGCCUAUAAACCUUUACAACUUUCAGCAACGGAUCUCUUGGCUCUCGCAUCGAUGAAGAACGCAGCGAAAUGCGAUAAGUAAUGUGAAUUGCAGAAUUCAGUGAAUCAUCGAAUCUUUGAACGCACCUUGCGCUCCUUGGUAUUCCGAGGAGCAUGCCUGUUUGAGUGUCAUUAAUAUUAUCAACCAUUUUUUGGUUGGAUUUGGGUUUGCUGGCCUCUUUGAAGGUCAGCUCCCCUUAAAUGCAUUAGCGGACAACAUUUUGCCAACCGUUCAUUGGUGUGAUAAUUAUCUACGCUAUUGACGUGAAGCAAGGUUCAGCUUCUAAUAGUCCAUUGACUUGGACAAACCUCUUUUUAUUAAUGUGACCUCAAAUCAGGUAGGACUACCCGCUGAACUUAAGCAUAUCAAUAAGCGGAGGAAAAGAAACUAACAAGGAUUCCCCUAGUAACUGCGAGUGAAGCGGGAAAAGCUCAAAUUUAAAA